rnacentral:misc_RNA from 1 species
UAUAUAUAAUUCUCGUGUCACAAUGUUAGUUAAAAUACUCCUCCGAAACGGCUGGACCGAUUUUUAUGAAAUUUUGUGUGCAUAUCGGGUAGGUCUGAGAAUCGGCCAACGUUUUUCAUAUUCCUAAGUUACAGGGGGGGGGGGGUUAAUAAUAAACAGCGGGACGCAGGUAGUUGCUUAUAAGAUUUCAGACGAUCAUCUAAAUUUCACGAGUAUCACAGUUCGCAAAA